rnacentral:rRNA from 1 species
GACGAACGCUGGCGGCGUGCCUAAUACAUGCAAGUCGAGCGAGCUGAACCAGCAGAUUCACUUCGGUGAUGACGCUGGGAACGCGAGCGGCGGAUGGGUGAGUAACACGUGGGUAACCUGCCCUAAAGUCUGGGAUACCACUUGGAAACAGGUGCUAAUACCGGAUAACAACAAUAGCUGCAUGGCUAUUGCUUAAAAGGCGGCGAAAGCUGUCGCUAAAGGAUGGACCCGCGGUGCAUUAGCUAGUUGGUAAGGUAAUGGCUUACCAAGGCGACGAUGCAUAGCCGAGUUGAGAGACUGAUCGGCCACAUUGGGACUGAGACACGGCCCAA